GACGAACGCUGGCGGCGUGCUUAACACAUGCAAGUCGAACGGAAAGGCCUGCUUUCCCUUGUGGAUUGCGGGUACUCGAGUGGCGAACGGGUGAGUAACACGUGAGUGAUCUGCCCCCAACUUGGGUAUAAGCCUGGGAAACUGGGUCUAAUUCCCGAUAGGACUGCAGGGUGGUGCCUGUGGUGGAAAACGAUUUUCUAGUGGUUGGGGAUGAGCUCGCGGCCUAUCAGCUUGUUGGUGGGGUAAUGGCCUACCAAGGCGGCGACGGGUAGCCGGCCUGAGAGGGUGGACGGCAAGAUUGGGACUGAGAUACGGCCCAGACUCCUACGGGAGGCAGCAGUGGGGAAUAUUGCACAAUGGGCGGAAGCCUGAUGCAGCGACGCCGCGUGGGGGAUGACGGCCUUCGGGUUGUAAACUCCUUUCGACCGCGAGGAAGCCACCUGGUUGGAAGGGUGGUGACGGUAGUGGUAGAAGAAGCACCGGCUAACUACGUG
rnacentral:rRNA from 1 species